CCCGCCGGCGACCGGCGCACGGGUGAGUAACACGUAUGAAACCUGCCCGUAGCAGGGGGAUAAGCGGAAGAAAUUCCGUCUAAUACCGCGUAACAACCCACGGAGGCAUCUCUGUGGGUUUAAAGGAAGCGAUUCCGGCUACGGAUGGUCAUGCGUCGCAUUAGCUUGUUGGCGGGGUAACGGCCCACCAAGGCGACGAUGCGUAGGGGUUCUGAGAGGAAGGUCCCCCACACUGGUACUGAGACACGGACCAGACUCCUACGGAAGGCAGCAG
rnacentral:rRNA from 1 species